AAUUCUAGCCCUAAAAACAUAUAAUCACAACUACACUGUAAAAGUAAAACAAAACAUUUAUAUUUAAAAGUAUAGGAGAUAGAACUUUCUUUUGGCGCUAUAGAGGUAGUACCGCAAGGGAAAGAUGAAAGAUAAAAUUAACAGUAAAAAAAAGCAUAGAUCACCCCUAUUACCUUUUGUAUAAUGAGUUAACUAGAAUAAAUUUGGCAAAGAGGACUGAAGCCAACCACCCCGAAACCAAACGAGCUACUUUUAAACAGCUAACAGAGCAAACUCGUCUAUGUAGCAAAAUAGUGAGAAGAUUUAGAAGUAGAGGUGAAAAGCCAAUCGAGCUUGGUGAUAGCUGGUUAUCCAAAUAAGAAUAUCAGUUCAGCUUUAAGUUUUCCAAAAAUAUAACCAAAUCAAAUGAAAACUUAAAACUUAAUCUAAAGAGGGACAGCUCUUUAAAAUAAGGAAACAACCUCUAACAGUGGGUAAAAAAUAAAAGCUCCAUAGUUGGCCUAAGAGCAGCCAUCAAUUAAGAAAGCGUUCAAGCUCGACAACCCAUAAAAUUUAUAAUACCAAUAAAACUUAAUGAACCCCUGAUGAACAAUUGGAUUAAUCUAUAUGUAUAUAGAAGAAAUAAUGUUAACAUUAGUAACAAGAAAUAAUUCUCCUCGCACAAGCUUAAAUCAUUCACACAUGAUUGUUAACAACUCAAUAAGACAAGACACCUCAUUAAUACUCUUAUUAGACUAAUUGUUAACCCGACACAGGAGUGCUACUCAGGAAAGACAAAACAAAGCAAAAGGAACUCGGCAAA
rnacentral:rRNA from 1 species